rnacentral:lncRNA from 1 species
GAGAGAGAGAGAGCAGCAGGGUGUGUCUAUAAAAGUGGAUAUGUUCGGAGUAAAAAGUCUCACACCUGAGUUGGAUUGGGUGAGACAUUAACUUUGGGUGAACCGACCCGUAGCGCGUGCACGGGCUGCUUUGUGCGUACAUCGGAAGUGAGUCAUCGGCGCUGCGCUGUUAGCGUGGGUGUGUGCGCUGUUAAAAACGAGGCUCAGGCUGCUCCGUGUGACUCACUCUGAUGCUGGGCUGAUCACAGGAACUUUUUGGAAACGGUGCAGCCCCAAAGACUCCAUGGCUCCAAACGCUUUGUGCGCACUGUGCGGAUUUAUUCUAGCGGCUGUCACCAGCCUCCACUGCGCGAGCGCACAGAAAAGUUUGUGCAAAAGCUCCGAGUUUUGGAACGCAGACAUGGACGUGUGCAUUUCCUGCUCAUCGUGUAAGCAGUACCCAAAGACGCCGUCGUGCAACACAUGUAAAUCUGUGGACGAGACGCAUGACGUGUGGAAGCUGGCAGCCAUCACCAGUUUCUCGGUGCUCGCUGUGGUGCUGGUGGGGGCCGCGUUGAUCAUCGGGGUCAUGGUUCUUCGACGCAAGUCACACAAGCGCCCUCUACGUGAGCCAAUUGAGGAAACUGCAGGACCUCUUUAUCAAGCCUGAACAGUACAGUAGCCUCGUCUUCCUCUGGAAACAUGUGACAGAACCAAGGAGCGACCAAGAAAACUGCAGAGUGAACAUGAAUCACGGAGGGUAAAGAGAGACGUUCUAGGCUCUCGGAUCUUAUUCUCGACCUAUAAGGACAUCAGCAGAACAGCUCCUACGCCUCUCUGCAUCUUUAGGUAUCUUUCCAUUCCACCUGGUUACGUCUUUAGUCCUAGUUUGAUUCAGAAACAGGAGGUAAAGGACAGUCUCUGAUGGACUCUGGUGAUUGAAACACACGUGUAGCAGCAGCAGCAGCAGCUGAUCCCUCACUGAUCAGCAGCGUUACACAAGCUCGCCUCCUGUGGCCUUUUUAAAUGCAGACAUCUUUGGAAAGCUGAGAAUUUAUUUUUGUUUUUUGUUUGUUUGGCACAUUGAGGCCAUUUGAAUGUAGCUACUUUUAAUAUGUACUCUAAGAUCUGUCCCUGCCAGUACCUGCACCUACCUGUUUGUUUAAGUAGCCUGAUACUGCCAUUGGACUGUGGACUAAAAGGGGUUAACUGUACUAGUGCACUGUUACUGGGUCUGCACAGACCAAAAUAACCUCUCAUCACAUUAUUGUCAGUUGAAGAAGAUGAAGAAGAAGAAGGAUGUAGUUUGAUAAUCUUGCCCCUGAAUCCACGCCACUGUCCUGGUGCUUGGAGAAUGGAUGAGUGAAACACUAGAAGGACAAAGCCAGCCUGUUAACAUGUGGGAAUGUAGUGAGGAAUGCACAACCAAGCUGCACCUGCCUUUGUAAACGUUUGCUCUAUCUCACCUCGUCUGCAGCAAACUUCAACAUUAUUGUAAAAAAAAAAGAGAUACAUAUUGAUGCCGAUCACCAUUUUCUACAACAAUUCAAAAAUAGUCUAUUUUUAUGUGAAUUAACAAUAUACAGGUAUGUUUUUUUUAAGAAAACAAAAACAUUUUUCUACUUUUCUAAAUGGUAUUUUUCAAAUGAUGAACAAAACACUUUUUUUUUUUUUUUACAUACAUUUUAAUGCCAAAAGUAUCGGGACACUUCCUUUAGUUUCUGUUUUAAAUCUGUAAGGUACAAUGUGAGGUCCACCCAUUGCAGCUAUCAGGGUUGGGGUCAAUUACAUUUUUCAGUUACAAUUACAUCUUCAAUUACCUAUGUUCAGUUAGAAUUAAAUUAUGAUUACAGUGACCAGCAAUUUUUUCCCAAUUAGAAUUAAAGUACAAUUAUUCAAUUACAAUUAAUUGCAAUUACUGUGCCUGAAAUAAAUAACCUAAUAAAAGUUAAGCUUCCUCUUGU